AAUGAGACUCGAUGGACAUAAAUAAUAUCACUAGAAAUAAAAUCGUUUUGACGGCACGUGCAUUUACGCGGGAAUCGUGAUUGAUUGAAUCAAGUGUCAUGCAAUACGGUCAAAAGUCGAUUAGAGUGGACUCGCAGUACACGCAGAUGCUGCAAAUUCGCAACAUUGUCCGGGAGAUACUGCAGACGGUUGCCAGACAGUACUAACUCCUCCAAAUCGGGCCACGAUGCGAUACAGCUGGGAGAGUAUCCAGGACAUUGUAGGCCAGAUGAAGUACACGAAGUGCUGAGAGUUUUCCCAAGGCGUCGAGUGCAGCGUCCGUCAGAC